UACGGAGGAUCCGAGCGUUAUCCGGAUUUAUUGGGUUUAAAGGGUGCGUAGGCGGGCUGUUAAGUCAGCGGUAAAAGCCCGGGGCUCAACCCCGGCGAGCCGUUGAAACUGGCUGUCUUGAGAUGUCGAGAGGUAUGCGGAAUGCGCAGUGUAGCGGUGAAAUGCUUAGAUAUUGCGCAGAACUCCGAUUGCGAAGGCAGCAUACCGGCGGCGAUCUGACGCUGAGGCACGAAAGCGUGGGUAUCGAACAGG
rnacentral:rRNA from 1 species